rnacentral:tRNA from 1 species
GCGUCCGUAGUGUUUAACGGCUAGCACGUUAGGUUUCCAACCUGAAAGAGAGGGCUCGAAUCCCUCCGGACGCUCCA